rnacentral:rRNA from 1 species
CGGCGGACGGGUUAGUAACGCGUGGGAAUAUACCCUUUGGUACGGAAUAGCCUCUGGAAACGGAGAGUAAUACCGUAUGUGCCCUUCGGGGGAAAGAUUUAUCGCCAAAGGAUUAGCCCGCGUUAGAUUAGGUAGUUGGUGGGGUAAUGGCCUACCAAGCCUACGAUCUAUAGCUGGUUUUAGAGGAUGAUCAGCAACACUGGGACUGAGACACGGCCCAGACUCCUACGGGAGGCAGCAGUGGGGAAUCUUGGACAAUGGGGGCAACCCUGAUCCAGCCAUGCCGCGUGAGUGAUGAAGGCCUUAGGGUCGUAAAGCUCUUUCGCCUGUGAAGAUAAUGACGGUAGCAGGUAAAGAAACCCCGGCUAACUCCGUGCCAGCAGCCGCGGUAAUACGGAGGGGGUUAGCGUUGUUCGGAAUUACUGGGCGUAAAGCGCACGUAGGCGGAUCGGAAAGUUGGGGGUGAAAUCCCGGGGCUCAACCCCGGAACUGCCUCCAAAACUAUCGGUCUAGAGUUCGAGAGAGGUGAGUGGAAUUCCGAGUGUAGAGGUGAAAUUCGUAGAUAUUCGGAGGAACACCAGUGGCGAAGGCGGCUCACUGGCUCGAUACUGACGCUGAGGUGCGAAAGUGUGGGGAGCAAACAGGAUUAGAUACCCCUGGUAGUCCACACCGUAAACGAUGAA